rnacentral:lncRNA from 1 species
UGGUGGCAUAUGGGGUAGGAGGCACAGUUGUCCAAUGUCUGUCCUGCUCAGCUAACUAACUGGUCAGCGUGGGAAAUGAGCCACUGACCAACCUUUGCCUCGUUAGCACAAGUUCUGACCAAAUGGACCAACCAUGGCUCCUGGCACUGCGUGGUUCAAUUCUUUGAAGGCCUUUGGGUUGCAGGGGAGCAUCAAAACCACAGCAUUCUGUGGGUCUUCAAAGGGCAGAAGUCAUGGUGUGGCCACUGUGGAAAACAGUCUGGGGGUUCCCCAAAAAGUUAAACAUGGAAUUACAUAUGACCUAGCAAAUAUGCCCUUGGGGUAUGUGUCCAGAAGAGCUGAAAACAGAUAUCCAGACAAAAAUGUCAGGAAUGUCACGAAUGACAUGUAUGCUCAGAGCAGCACUAUGCACCACAGCCAGAAGGCAGAAAUAACCCAAGUGGCCAUCAAUGGACAAUUGUUUUAUACUUAUGAUGAAAUAUUAUUCAGCCAUGAAAAGGACUAAAGUGUGCCAUAAUAUGAAUGGAACUUGAGGACACUGUUAGGUGAAAGCAGCCGAACACAAAUGUCACUUAUUGUCAGAUUCCGUCGACAUGAAAUACCCACAAUGGGCAAGUCCAUGGAAACAGAGGAGAGGUGGGUGUCUUCUAGGGGCUUCAGGUUGGGGGAGAAAAGUGGGCUAUUAAUACUUUAUUAAUUGCUUAAUAGGUCAUUAAUAAAUUAUUAACUCAUUAAUAACCUGUUAAUACAUUACUAACUGCUUUGUAGAUUAUUUAGGGGUGGUAAGAUGUUUUGGAACUAGACAAGAGGUGAUGGUCACCCAGUACCGUGAAUAUACUAAAUGCCAUCAAAAGGUCCAGUUAAAGUGGUUGAUUCCAUGUUGUCACCUCUGGUACGGCCCGCGUCAGAAGAAAGGGUAACGUAUCGGCUUCCAUGUGUCUCUCCUGCUUCCCAGGGACUUCUGGGCAGGAGAGGGGGCAGUUGGGUCUUUCUUGCCCUCCCUCCUCACAGGCUUUCCACCAGCCCUCGGCAAGCUCCACGUGUGCCUGUGUGUGUGUGUGUCUGUGUGUGAGCGUGUUUGUGCUGUCAACAAACUGACCAAGUGUUACU